AACUGCUCCGGUGGCCUAGUGGUUAGAGCAUGUGCUUCAUAUGCAGGAGGUCGUGGGUUCGAUCCCAGGUCGAGUUA